rnacentral:rRNA from 1 species
UACGUAGGGGGCAAGCGUUAUCCGGAUUUACUGGGUGUAAAGGGGGCGCAGACGGCAAUGCAAGCCAGGAGUGAAAGCCCGGGGCCCAACCCCGGGACUGCUCUUGGAACUGCAUGGCUGGAGUGCGGGAGAGGUAAGCGGAAUUCCUAGUGUAGCGGUGAAAUGCGUAGAUAUUAGGAGGAACACCAGCGGCGAAGGCGGCUUACUGGACCGUGACUGACGUUGAGGCUCGAAAGCGUGGGGAGCAAACAGG